CCGUGCUAGACGGGGAGUUGGCGGUGCCCUGUUACCCGCAAUCCGCCAUAGCGGGGUUGAAUUCCUACUUGAGGUAGAAACAUGUAAGGUCUGCCUUGUGAAGAUUGGUGUUGACAAUUGGGUCCUACGCAAUGGAAACCUAUGAAAUUGGUCAGGUCCGGAAGGAAGCAGCCAUAAGUAGAACUUUCUAUGUGCCGUAGGGUAGCCUAGUUCGAGCUAAAGUUCACAAGUAACGCUUGGUUGUUUCUAUCGAUAGUAGGUGCACGG
rnacentral:SRP_RNA from 1 species